rnacentral:rRNA from 1 species
GAUGAACGCUGGCGGCGUGCCUAAUACAUGCGAGUCGAGCGAACAGAUGAGGAGCUUGCUCCUCUGACGUUAGCGGCGGACGGGUGAGUAACACGUGGAUAACCUACCUAUAAGACUGGGAUAACUUCGGGAAACCGGAGCUAAUACCGGAUAAUAUAUUGAACCGCAUGGUUCAAUAGUGAAAGACGGUUUUGCUGUCACUUAUAGAUGGAUCCGCGCCGCAUUAGCUAGUUGGUAAGGUAACGGCUUACCAAGGCAACGAUGCGUAGCCGACCUGAGAGGGUGAUAGGCCACACUGGAGCUGAGACACGGUCCAGACUCCUACGGGAGGCCGCAGUAGGGAAUCUUCCGCAAUGGGCGAAAGCCUGACGGAGCAACGCCGCGUGAGUGAUGAAGGUCUUCGGAUCGUAAAACUCUGUUAUUAGGGAAGAACAAAUGUGUAAGUAACUAUGCACGUCUUGACGGUACCUAAUCAGAAAGCCACGGCUAACUACGUG